GAUGAACGCUGGCGGCGUGCUUAACACAUGCAAGUCGAACGAAGCACUUUUUUGAAUUCUCUUCGGGGAUGAAGAGAAAGUGACUUAGUGGCGGACGGGUGAGUAACGCGUGGGUAACCUGCCUUAUACAGGGGGAUAACAGCUGGAAACGGCUGCUAACACCGCAUAAGCGCACAGCAUCGCAUGAUGCAGUGUGAAAAUAUUUAUAGGUAUAAGAGGGACCCGCGUCUGAUUAGCUAGUUGGUGAGGUAACGGCCCACCAAGGCGACGAUCAGUAGCCGGCUUGAGAGAGUGAACGGCCACAUUGGGACUGAGACACGGCCCGAACUCCUACGGGAGGCAGCAGUGGGGAAUAUUGCACAAUGGGGGAAACCCUGAUGCAGCGACGCCGCGUGAGUGAAGAAGUAUUUCGGUAUGUAAAGCUCUAUCAGCAGGGACGAUAAUGACGGUACCUGACUAAGAAGCCCCGGCUAACUACGUGCCAGCCGCCGCAGUAAAAC
rnacentral:rRNA from 1 species